rnacentral:rRNA from 1 species
UUGAACGCUGGCGGCAUGCUUUACACCUGCAAGUCGAACGGUAACAGGCCUUCGGGUGCUGACGAGUGGCGAACGGGUGAGUAAUGCAUCGGAACGUACCCAGAGGUGGGGGAUAACGCAGCGAAAGCUGUGCUAAUACCGCAUGUGAUCUGAGGAUGAAAGCGGGGGACCGAGCAGCAAUGUUUGGCCUCGCGCCUUUGGAGCGGCCGAUGUCGGAUUAGCUAGUUGGUGGGGUAAAGGCCUACCAAGGCGACGAUCCGUAGCUGGUCUGAGAGGACGACCAGCCACACUGGGACUGAGACACGGCCCAGACUCCUACGGGAGGCAGCAGUGGGGAAUUUUGGACAAUGGGCGCAAGCCUGAUCCAGCAAUGCCGCGUGCGGGAAGAAGGCCUUCGGGUUGUAAACCGCUUUUGGCAGGAACGAAACGGUGUCCGCUAAUACCGGGCGCUAAUGACGGUACCUGCAGAAUAAGCACCGGCUAACUACGUG